ensembl:snoRNA LOC120097255 small nucleolar RNA SNORA17
GCUGCCCCUACAGGCCUUGCAGGGGUGGCUGCUGUGUCCCAAGGGUGCCAGUAGGUGGCAGAGAGGAGAGAGGCUGUGCCUGCACUCAGCGACUGCACAGGGAGCUAGCCUGGGAGGACCAUCUGUCUGGCAAU